rnacentral:ncRNA from 1 species
CACCGUGAGGUGGAAUCUGAAGGAAGAUAGAUGUCAGCAGGGAAAAGAAUGCUGGCAGGCAAACUCCUGAACCGACGAACAGAAAUCACAUAGUAGGCCGUAUAGGGACGGACGAGUGUGCUUAGCAACACAAAGUCCAAUGCUGCCCGAAUCCCAUGCGGUAAAUGUGGCGGUUACAUGGGAAGAGAGUUGU